AUUCCAGUAGCACCUUAGAGACCAACUAAGUUUGUUAUUGGUAUGCAUGCACAUGAAAGCUCAUACCAAUAACAAACUUAGUUGGUCUCUAAGGUGCUACUGGAAG